UCCCUGGAAGUCCAGUGGUUAGGAGUUGGCACUUCCACUGCCAUGGCCCAAGUUCAAGCUCCGGUCAGGGAA
rnacentral:tRNA from 1 species